rnacentral:tRNA from 1 species
GGGCGUGUAGCUCAGUUGGUAGAGCGGGUGUCUUAUACACACCUGGUCAUAGGUUCGAGUCCUAUCGCGCCCA